GCAUAUCAAUAAGCGGAGGAAAAGAAACCAACCGGGAUUGCCUUAGUAACGGCGAGUGAAGCGGCAAAAGCUCAAAUUUGAAAUCUGGUACCUUCGGUGCCCGAGUUGUAAUUUGGAGAGGGCAACUUUGGGGCCGUUCCUUGUCUAUGUUCCUUGGAACAGGACGUCAUAGAGGGUGAGAAUCCCGUGUGGCGAGGAGUGCGGUUCUUUGUAAAGUGCCUUCGAAGAGUCGAGUUGUUUGGGAAUGCAGCUCUAAGUGGGUGGUAAAUUCCAUCUAAAGCUAAAUAUUGGCGAGAGACCGAUAGCGAACAAGUACAGUGAUGGAAAGAUGAAAAGAACUUUGAAAAGAGAGUGAAAAAGUACGUGAAAUUGUUGAAAGGGAAGGGCAUUUGAUCAGACAUGGUGUUUUGUGCCCUCUGCUCCUUGUGGGUAGGGGAAUCUCGCAUUUCACUGGGCCAGCAUCAGUUUUGGUGGCAGGAUAAACCCAUAGGAAUGUAGCUUGCCUCGGUAAGUAUUAUAGCCUGUGGGAAUACUGCCAGCUGGGACUGAGGACUGCGACGUAAGUCGAGGAUGCUGGCAUAAUGGUUAUAUGCCGCCCGUCUUGAAACACGGACC
rnacentral:rRNA from 1 species